rnacentral:rRNA from 1 species
CUAAUACAUGCAAGUCGAGCGAAUGGAUUAAGAGCUUGCUCUUAUGAAGUUAGCGGCGGACGGGUGAGUAACACGUGGGUAACCUGCCCAUAAGACUGGGAUAACUCCGGGAAACCGGGGCUAAUACCGGAUAACAUUUUGAACCGCAUGGUUCGAAAUUGAAAGGCGGCUUCGGCUGUCACUUAUGGAUGGACCCGCGUCGCAUUAGCUAGUUGGUGAGGUAACGGCUCACCAAGGCAACGAUGCGUAGCCGACCUGAGAGGGUGAUCGGCCACACUGGGACUGAGACACGGCCCAGACUCCUACGGGAGGCAGCAGUAGGGAAUCUUCCGCAAUGGACGAAAGUCUGACGGAGCAACGCCGCGUGAGUGAUGAAGGCUUUCGGGUCGUAAAACUCUGUUGUUAGGGAAGAACAAGUGCUAGUUGAAUAAGCUGGCACCUUGACGGUACCUAACCAGAAAGCCACGGCUAACUACGUGCCAGCAGCCGCGGUAAUACGUAGGUGGCAAGCGUUAUCCGGAAUUAUUGGGCGUAAAGCGCGCGCAGGUGGUUUCUUAAGUCUGAUGUGAAAGCCCACGGCUCAACCGUGGAGGGUCAUUGGAAACUGGGAGACUUGAGUGCAGAAGAGGAAAGUGGAAUUCCAUGUGUAGCGGUGAAAUGCGUAGAGAUAUGGAGGAACACCAGUGGCGAAGGCGACUUUCUGGUCUGUAACUGACACUG